rnacentral:rRNA from 1 species
CGAAUGGGGAAACCCAGUGUGACUCGUCACACUAUCAUUAACUGAAUCCAUAGGUUAAUGAGGCGAACCGGGGGAACUGAAACAUCUAAGUACCCCGAGGAAAAGAAAUCAACCGAGAUUCCCCCAGUAGCGGCGAGCGAACGGGGANNCAAGAAACAUCUUCGGGUUGUGAGGUUAAGCGACUAAGCGUACACGGUGGAUGCCCUGGCAGUCAGAGGCGAUGAAGGACGUGCUAAUCUGCGAUAAGCGCCGGUAAGGUGAUAUGAACCGUUAUAACCGGCGAUUUCCGAAUGGGGAAACCCAGUUUGACUCGUCUCACUAUCAUUAAUUUAAUCCAUAGGUUAAUGAGGCGAACCGGGGGAACUGCAACAUCUAAGUACCCCGAGGAACAGAAAUCAACCGAGAUUCACCCAGUAGCGGCGAGCGAACGGGGAUGAGC